rnacentral:rRNA from 1 species
CAGUCGCCGCGGUAAUACGAAGGGGGCUAGCGUUGCUCGGAAUGACUGGGCGUAAAGGGCGCGUAGGCGGAUCACGCAGUCAGAUGUGAAAUUCCUGGGCUUAACCUGGGGGCUGCAUUUGAGACGCGUGGUCUAGAGUGUGAAAGAGGGUCGUGGAAUUCCCAGUGUAGAGGUGAAAUUCGUAGAUAUUGGGAAGAACACCGGUGGCGAAGGCGGCGACCUGGUCUGUAACUGACGCUGAGGAGCGAAAGCGUGGGGAGCGAACAGGAUUAGAUACCCCUGUAGUCCCUGUCUCUUAUAC